rnacentral:guide_RNA from 1 species
ACUGAAGGAGCGAUAGUGCUCCGUAACUCGUGUAUAU